GAGUUUGAUCAUGGCUCAGAUUGAACGCUGGCGGCAGGCCUAACACAUGCAAGUCGAGCGGAUGAAGGGAGCUUGCUCCUGGAUUCAGCGGUGGACGGGUGAGUAAUGCCUAGGAAUCUGCCUGGUAGUGGGGGAUAACGUCCGGAAACGGGCGCUAAUACCGCAUACGUCCUGAGGGAGAAAGUGGGGGAUCUUCGGACCUCACGCUAUCAGAUGAGCCUAGGUCGGAUUAGCUAGUUGGUGGGUAAAGGCCUACCAAGGCGACGAUCCGUAACUGGUCUGAGAGGAUGAUCAGUCACACUGGAACUGAGACACGGUCCAGACUCCUACGGGAGGCAGCAGUGGGGAAUAUUGGACAAUGGGCGAAAGCCUGAUCCAGCCAUGCCGCGUGUGUGAAGAAGGUCUUCGGAUUGUAAAGCACUUUAAGUUGGGAGGAAGGGCCGUAAGUUAAUACCUUGCUGUUUUGACGUUACCAACAGAAUAAGCACCGGCUAACUUCGUGCCAGCCGCCGCCGUAA
rnacentral:rRNA from 1 species